UGGUUUUUGUUUUUUGUCGCGUUUUCUAGCGAUCCAGUAACUUGGAAUCAACGGAAAGUGAUUUGAAGUCGUCUCUUGAUGGAAAGAACAAAGAGCUGAACCAGUCAUCACUCCUUAUAUCACAGUAUGAAGCAAAAAUGAAGACCCUCGAGACAAACAUGAAAGAGAUGGAAUCCAAGAAGAGGAUUUUAGAAGAAGCUGUUGACUCCCUGAAUGAAGAAAUAGCUAAACUCAAGGCAAAAGCUCAGAUGCAUGCUCUGGCUUUGAAAGACAAGGAAGAGGAACACGCUGGCUUGCUUCACACAGCCGGUGAAAUACAGGUAUGCUUCUUAAGUAAACGUUGU